CAUCACCUCUAGCAUAUCAAGUAUUAGAGGCACUGCCUGCCCAGUGACUAGCGUUAAACGGCCGCGGUAUCCUGACCGUGCAAAGGUAGCAUAAUCAUUUGUUCCUUAAUUAGGGACUGGAAUGAACGGCUUGACGAGGGUUUAACUGUCUCUUAUUUCCAAUCAGUGAAAUUGACCUCCCCGUGAAGAGGCGGGGAUUUUAAAAUAAGACGAGAAGACCCUAUGGAGCUUUAAUUUACUAGUUUAAUCUCAACAACAAACAGCCUACUGGUACAACACACAAAAAUGUAAACUAGUAAUUUUGGUUGGGGUGACCUCGGAGCAUAAAAAAACCUCCGAAUGAUUUUAACCAAGACACACAAGUCUAAGUAAUUUCAUAUCUUAUUGACCCAAAACCUUUUUGAUCAACGGACCAAGUUACCCUAGGGAUAACAGCGCAAUCCUAUUCAAGAGUCCAUAUCGACAAUUAGGGUUUACGACCUCGAUGUUGGAUCAGGACUUCCCAAUGGUGCAGAAGCUAUUAAUGGUUCGUUUGUUCAACGAUUAAAGUCCUACGUGAUCA
rnacentral:rRNA from 1 species